rnacentral:rRNA from 1 species
UACGUAGGGUGCGAGCGUUGUCCGGAAUUAUUGGGCGUAAAGGGCUCGUAGGCGGUUUGUCGCGUCGGGAGUGAAAUCACUGGGCUUAACUCAGUGCUUGCUUCCGAUACGGGCAGACUAGAGGUAUGCAGGGGAGAACGGAAUUCCUGGUGUAGCGGUGAAAUGCGCAGAUAUCAGGAGGAACACCGGUGGCGAAGGCGGUUCUCUGGGCAUUACCUGACGCUGAGGAGCGAAAGUGUGGGGAGCGAACAGG